GCACAUGACCUUUCAUCGAACGAAACGCCUUCGACAAGUUUUAUGAACAUAACACCUGCAGGAAGACGUUCUCAACCAAACAUUAAUGAUCAGUUCUCACCAAACUGGAAACAUUAAUUGAUAAGCAUGAAGAAGCGUUGUCAAUAUUGCGUGCUCUGUUAAGCGCUACGAAAUGUGUAGACGAGCACGAAAUUUUGGAUAAUGUUGUACCUAAUCCCUUUGAUUCGGUUGAAGAACUGGAGGAGCUAUCCUCUAGUCUUGAUGAAGAAAAGUCCAGAGGAAAGUUGCUACUUGUUUUUGUAGCACUGUGCGCAAACACCUGUGCAAACAGUGUUAGAAGAAUUAUGACAAAGCUGGGAACAAAUAUUCUAUGGUCCCAAUAUAGUUUAAAUGGCAGAAAGACAAAGCGAGGAGCAGAGUGAAAUAAGAAGAGCAGGCGAAACUUGAUCACUGAUUUAAUUAGUUUUUUUUUCAAAAUAGCUGGAAUCUUAUUAGGCUUUCAUUAUGAAAUGAUUGUGGAUAUUCUGGGAUUUUGUCCCCUGCCCAUUGUAUCUGGAAGAAACAGACUUGGAAAGACAAAAUCUUCAAAAGCCGCACUAAGUCUUGUAGGAAAUGGAUCAAACUUCUUUUCAGCAGUAAGGGAAAGAUUCAUCCCCAGGCUAUGCAGCAGAUCAACUUUGCCUCCCGUGCUCGACGACGUUAAGAGCCCCACAGUUAUUGAAAAUGUUGCGGUCUCUUUCUACAACAGUGGCAAAGACGGGACAUGUGUUUUCGAAACAGCUCCUCGAACGAUUCUGAUGUUCACAGUCAAUUGCGACACUUUAGAGGGAUUGAACAAUGACCCGAGAGUACUUGGAAAGCUUGUCCUAAUUGCCUUUCAAGAAGGAGCAAGAAGUCCUCUCGGAAUCGAGAAUCAACAGAACGCAGAAUUCCAAAACAAUGCAAUAAUGGAUAGAGGGUCUAGUGCUUUUGGGACCAUGGUGGCAAUUAGCAGAUCUGUCGAAUACCUCUGUAUAACGAGAACUAAUGAGCUCUGUCAACAAUUUACCAUUGAAGCGCCGAACAUCGACGACCGCUGUUUAAGAAAUCAUGCACUUUUGGUAGCAUUUGCUGAUAAGUAUUAACCACAUAACAUGAAAAAAUUGAGCAAUAGCAAAUGGCCACUUGCACAACUAUAACAUAGGUAAUACGGCUGGCAAGUAUUGAUGAUCUCUAUCCAAGCAAUGCCAUCGCUUUUUUCAAACAAACAAUCCUGCCAGUGUGGAUGAAGCGAUUCCAGACCAACAAAGGGCAAGUGUCUCAUGCAAUGCUUCAAACAGAACAGCCAAUUAUUGUGGACUUAAUAAUGAAGUCAAUAGAGCACAAGAUAUCUUGCAAAAAACUUUCUCACUUGCGUGAAUCCAAAAGUGACAUUUAAGUCAAGCUCAAGCGGAGUAAGACUAAAUGGAGUAGAAGUGGCACUGAAAUGGUUUUUUGCUUUGCUAAAAGAUCACGGAGUUCUGUUUACGAAUGAAGAAAGAGUGAGACAAGAAAUUAAGUCUCUCGACAUUGGGGUGAUCAAUGGGCGAAGCCAGUAUUUCAAUGCAAAUGCAAAUGGUGAAAAGAUCAGCAGAGUCUCAGAUUGAGUAGAAACUGCUUCCAGAAACUGCGUAAUUAUACAGCAAUCUGCAUUUGGAAGUGAGAAUUGGAUUGUUUUUUCGGAAGCCUUCAACAUCUUAGAUAAAAUAUCGCAAGAGACAGCUUGGGGUCCACCGCCGAAACCAGCAUAAAUGAUUCAAACACAGCGUCUACGUCUGAAAUGGAAAUUGGUAAACGCAGCAGACCGUCAACAUCUAGAACCAGAAGAUACGACUCAAACACACCGUCCACAUCCGACAAUGAAAAUGGAAGAACAAACACAUCACGUGACAUAAAUGCAAACACCACGCAAAACUCACCCUUUGAGUGUGGUGGCACAACACCUGAUGGACCUGACACACAAUCAACAUAUGGUGCUGAAUCAACAAAUUUAGAUGAUAGUGGCAUUAAUCUGGAAGUGGAGUUGGGAGAAGUGGACAGAAUUGAUGUUUUAAACACAGUUAGUGCAUCAAAGAAGAAGAGAUGCAAGCAAAUAGGGAGCGAACGAGACAUGUUUAAAACAAAAAAGUUUAAGAACAAAGGAAAGGUCAAAGGACGAAGAAGACGAAAUGAUUGUUUGCGAGAACAGAAAAAGAAAAGCAAGAAAGUGUCCAGGAAACAAUUAUUACCACAUGGUCUGUUUGAAACUUAAAGUUGUACCAGACACCGAUCCUUGGUUCUGUCCCAGUUGCCGAGGAACUAACAGCAAGUUAUCAGUAACUGGCAUAUGUGUACAUAAUUUAAUUGAACGUUUAAUAAAACUUGAUUUUGUAAUACUAA